rnacentral:lncRNA from 1 species
CUUGCUGUAGCAGUGAUGAGGAACUGUGCACCUGAGUCAAUCUAUGAUGUUGCCUUUCGCAAGUAAAGUCCUUAACUUCUUAUCAGCUUAACACAUAUAACACAAUCUAGUCAGUUUGUGUUGCUUACUGAUUUAUUGUUUGUGUCAUAUUCUUCUUGCAGGGAUAUCAGACUUAAUGUGCCUACCGCACCUGAGGUUGGACUGCACCUCGAUGAAUGCAUGUUUACCUCGUAUAACUCAAAAUGGAUGGAUACACAUGAGGCAGUUUCAAUUGAACCCUAUGCUGAGGAGGCUGAAGAGUUUAAGAUCAAGUACAUCUUCCCUCAUAUUGCUGCAAUGGAACACAAGGAGGGAGCUGUAGCACUCUGGUUGCACUCAUUGAACAGCAGGAACUAUCCAGAUUUCCGCUACGUGGAGACUGCUGGAUCUGAGGCAAAGGUUGGGGCUGAAGUUGAGAAUAUGGAAGAAGCACAAAUGCCAAGUAAUAAUAUAAGCGAGUAACUUCUUGCAAUUAACAUGCAAGACCGAUGGAUAUUUCUGAUUGUCCUGUUCACCUGGAGAGUUGAAACAUUGCUUGGAAUAAAGACUCGAGAGAAAGGGUUGCUGCUUUUGUCCUAUGAAGUGCUGGCAUCAAAAUGGUCGGAAGCCUAGUUAUCUGCUUCAGUGUUAUCUUAAGGCAAGAUCUGUUACAGCGGAGAUACGCUUUCUCAGAUUAGAUAUUUUUAAGUUGAUUGAUAUGAUCUAUGUAACACUCUGAGACAGUUUUGAGACGAAUUAUGCCCCCUGGAAAAUACUUCAUUGAAUCCAGCGUGCAGUACAAUAGGUUCUAUAUAUUGUAUGGCUUAGACCUGAAAUAUGUUGUUUCUAGUCUUUAAUUCUUUUCAGGUUACAUUACAGUAUUAACAUUUUCCUUUUGUUAUCAUAUUAUGUGCAUUCGUCCUGGCAAGCUCCAAAUUGAUUCAGACUCAUACCCAUUGCUCGGAUAAUUUCUG